GGGUUAGUGAUGACACCAAUAUCAUAAAGAGUGGUGAUAUCAUAAAAAUAAUGCUCAGAUGAUUGUAGUGUGGUCC